rnacentral:rRNA from 1 species
UCGGGUUGUAAAGCACUUUUGUCCGGAAAGAAAACCUUCGAGUUAAUACCUUGGGGGGAUGACGGUACCGGAAGAAUAAGCACCGGCUAACUACGUGCCAGCAGCGCGGUAAUCGUAGGGUGCGAGCGUUAAUCGGAAUUACUGGGCGUAAAGCGUGCGCAGGCGGUUCGUUAAGACAGAUGUGAAAUCCCCGGGCUUAACCUGGGAACUGCAUUUGUGACUGGCGAGCUAGAGUAUGGCAGAGGGGGGUAGAAUUCCACGUGUAGCAGUGAAAUGCGUAGAGAUGUGGAGGAAUACCGAUGGCGAAGGCAGCCCCCUGGGCCAAUACUGACGCUCAUGCACGAAAGCGUGGGGAGCAAACAGGAUUAGAUACCCUGGUAGUCCACGCCCUAAACGAUGUCAACUAGUUGUUGGGUCUUCAUUGACUUAGUAACGUAGCUAACGCGUGAAGUUGACCGCCUGGGGAGUACGGUCGCAAGAUUAAAACUCAAAGGAAUUGACGGGGACCCGCACAAGCGGUGGAUGAUGGUGGAUUAAUUCGAUGCAACGCGAAAAACCUUACCUACCCUUGACAUGGUCGGAACCCUGCUG